rnacentral:rRNA from 1 species
UACAGAGGGUGCAAGCGUUGUUCGGAAUUAUUGGGCGUAAAGCGCGUGUAGGCGGCUUUGCAAGUCGGGUGUGAAAGCCCUCAGCUCAACUGAGGAAGUGCGCCCGAAACUGCAGAGCUUGAGUGCCGGAGAGGGUGGCGGAAUUCCCCAAGUAGAGGUGAAAUUCGUAGAUAUGGGGAGGAACACCGGUGGCGAAGGCGGCCUUCUGGACAGUGACUGACGCUGAGACGCGAAAGCGUGGGGAGCAAACAGG